AGAAAAGUCUAACCUGAAAAGCAGUAUCUGAAGACCCUGUAUUCUCUUCCAGCAGGAAAGGACCGUUUCCAGCCGGGAAGUCACAGCUUGGUGACCUCACCCUGUCUGCCUUAAGAUUGUCAGCUACCUGGGGUGGAAGUCCAUGUCAAACUCAUCUGUUUCCCAAGGCUCCUCCUCAUGGAAGUUGCUAUUAAGUCCUCUACUAAGUCAUAAGGACGCCCAAGCCGUUCCUGGAGAAGCCCCGGUGGGAAGACACUGAGUCCUCCCAGGAAGUGCCAGCACCAGCUCGCCAGCCUUGUUGUGACUGCACCUCUUUGAACCGGGUCCUGCAGCUCCAGUCAGGUCUGAUGACUGCAGCCCCAGUGACAUCUCAGCUGAAGCCUCAUGUGACAUCCUGGGCCAGAGCCACCGAGCUCCCUUCUUCGUGAAUUCAUGACCCACACGAACAGUGAGUUUGAAAAUGUUCGUUACUGCCUAAGUUUGAAGGGUUUUUUUUUUUGAAACACAAUUCAUAUACAUAACUGUCAGCAUAUUAGAGUGUACAGUUCAGUGAUAUUUAGCACAUUCCUUGUUAUACGACCAUUGCCACUGUCUGAUUCCAGAAUAUUUCCAUCCCCUCAAAAUGAUAUGCCAUGCCUCGUAGUAGUCACCCUUAUUUCUCUCUACUGCCCAUCACCUAGCAACUGUUAAUUUACUCUCUGACUGUAAGGAUUUGUUUAUUGCUGACAUAUGCUAUAAAUGGAAACAGAACAUAUGGUUUUUAAAAAAUACAUUUUUAUUGAUUUCAGAGAGAAGAAGGGAGAGGGAGAGAGAGCUAGAAACAUCAGUGAUGAGAAAGAAUGAUUGAUCGGCUGCCUCCUGCAUGUUCCCAACUGGGGAUCAAGCCUGAAAACUAGGCAGUGCCCUAACUAGGAAUGGAGACAUGACCUCCUGGGACCUGGGUAGACACUCAACCACUGAGCCACACCAGCCAGGAACAAUAUGUGGUUUUUUUUGAAUGACUUCUUUUAGAUAUCACAAUGUUUUCAAGGUUUAUCUGUGUUGCAGGACAGGUCAGUCACUUAUUCCUGUAAAAGAAAGACUCUUUUUAAAAACAGUUCUAGGUUUAUAUCAAAAUCUAGAGGAAGGUAUAGAGACCUCACAUAACCUGCUGCCCUCACACAUGCAUAGCCGCUUUCAUUGUCGGCAUCACUAACCAGAGGGGUACAUUUUUAACCAGGGAUGAACCUACAUUGGCACAUCAUUGUCACCCAAAGUCCAUGGUUUACCUUAGGGUUCACUUUUGAUAUUGUGGGAAUAAGUUUGGAUGAAUAUAUACUGGUAUUCAGCGUUGGGCAAAAGUGGGUUUACAGUUGUUCCUUUGAGAAAACAAUAGUUAACAAUAAUACAAGAAUAAACUGUUUUGCAUAUUCAUAAAUGUGAACCUACUUUCCCCCCACCCUGUAUAUCCAUCAUUAUAAUAUCAUACAGAAUGCUUUUACUACACUAAAAAUCUUCUGUACUCUGCCUGCAUUCUUUUUUGUAGGUGCAUAAUAUUCCACUGUAAUGCUAUACUGCGU